GCCCGGAUGGCGAAAUUGGUAGACGCAAGGGACUUAAAAUCCCUCGGAGGUGAUACUCCGUGCCGGUUCGAGCCCGGCUCCGGGCA
rnacentral:tRNA from 1 species